GACGAACGCUGGCGGCGUGCUUAACACAUGCCAGUCGAACGGUGAAGGGACCGGUCUUUGCUGGUUCUGGAUGAGUGGCGAACGGGUGAGUAACACGUGAGUAACCUGCCCCCUUCUUCUGGAUAACCGCAUGAAAGUGUGGCUAAUACGGGAUAUUCUGCGCCUGCUGCAUGGUGGGUGUGGGAAAGAUAUUGUUUCGGUGGGGGAUGGGCUCGCGGCCUAUCAGCUUGUUGGUGGGGUGAUGGCCUACCAAGGCGGUGACGGGUAGCCGGCCUGAGAGGGUGGACGGUCACACUGGGACUGAGACACGGCCCAGACUCCUACGGGAGGCAGCAGUGGGGAAUAUUGCACAAUGGGCGCAAGCCUGAUGCAGCGACGCCGCGUGAGGGAUGGAGGCCUUCGGGUUGUAAACCUCUUUCGCCAGUGAAGCAGGCCUGUCCCUUUUGUGGGUGGGUUGACGGUAGCUGGAUAAGAAGCGCCGGCUAACUACGUG
rnacentral:rRNA from 1 species